rnacentral:lncRNA from 1 species
UUCCAUCCCUUGAAUAUAAACUUUCGGACUGGAAAGAGUUUUAAGGAGACAAGGGGAUAAGUUUUAUUUUUUUUGGGCAAAAAAAUGAGCUAAUUUUUAUUAUAAAUAACUAAGGCGAGUUGAUUUUAUUUUAAAACAAAUAUAUUCACCCCAAAUACACCACAUACACCCAUCAGAUUAUAUUUUUCACUCUCUCUCUAAAAUCCAACGUCUCUUUCUCUCUAUCUUCUCCAUCUUCACUGCCUUCUCCGGCAGCCACCACCGCCGGAAUCCGGCGAAGCCAUACACACACUCAGCCUCCCCCACUUCUCACUAUCUCUCUCCCGUACCCUCUCAAAAUUGAUUUCCCUUCUCUUUCUUCAUCUCUCCAACAACAUCUUCCAUCCCCGUUGCCGCCGCCCCGUCGCUGCUACCUCUCCGUCGGCGACUUCCCUUCGUGCCCCAUAUACAGGACUCGCCAGCCGCGACCAGGAACGGCCACAUCGUUGCACAGCGACAGACGAACUACCUCAGCCAGCCAUUAAUGCAACAGUUGUCGCCGACUGCUCCUCUGAUUUUUCCGUUCUCUUUUUGCUUCUCUCUAGCUGCCUUCACAGCCACCUCUGGCCGCCUCGUCCAAAUACAACCAGAAAAAUAUUCCUUCAUAUACCCUCUAUUUUCUCUGAUUAAUAUAUUUUUCAGUAAUUUUUUUUUCACAUUCUUGCUUUAUUCUAUGCAUUUUGGUUUGGAUCGGAGGAGUUUGGAUUUCGAUAGCCUUUAAUUUCAUGUUUUGCUAUUGUGCGAUAUGCUACUAUCAUGCUGUUGAAGUUGUUAUUUUUAUUACUCCACUUUUUAUUUGAUUGUUCAUUGUUAUCAAAGUUGUUGAUGUUAUUAUUUUUUACUUAAGUACUAUAUUCUCUAGUUUUUACGUUUGAUAUUGUUAUCAAUGUUACUUUGAUUACUUUUACUUUGUUUACACUACCACUUUCAUUAUACUUAUUAUUGAUAUAUUUUUGAUUAGUUAUUGUUGUUUUGUGAUCAUUGUUUAGUAUUUUUAGAGUUCAUAUUUGGUGCUCGUUUUAACCUUCCCUAAAAAUAGGGUAUGACACUUGUUGUGUUUUAUGAUGUUGACUUUUCGAGCUUCCUGAUCAGAGUUGAUUUUAUAUAGUUUGGUAUCAUUAUUUUAAUUUAUUUUCCUCAGUUUUGAGAGUAAUUUGUGUGCUUAACGCAAGUUUAUAAUUAAUUGAGUAAUUAGAGUUGAUUUGGAAAAUUAGUUUUACUAGCUUGAGCUAAAUGUGUGUCUAGUUGAUCUUGGGGGACUUUAAUGUGUUUAAUUUGAUCUAAAUAUUUUAAAUGUGUAAUUAUGAAUGGAAUAACUUAUUUGUAAUGUGCAAAAUUUAAUUUGACUAAGUCACGAGUUGAAAUAAUAAGUGGAAGAAUAUAGUGAAUUUGCCUUAUGCUCUUGUUUUGAUUUGUUGUUGAGAAUAUUGUGUUGUUUUGAUUUUUAAUAUGUGGUGUGCGAUAGUAUAGGAGGCUUGGUGAGAAUUAAAUAUGGGGAUAUAUUGUUGAUUUAGUAGCCGUUUGGCCAUGAAAAUUAAAAAUUUUUGG